UACGUAGGGGGCAAGCGUUGUCCGGAAUCAUUGGGCGUAAAGAGCGUGUAGGCGGCUUGGUAAGUCCGCUGUGAAAGUCCAGGGCUCAACCCUGGAAAGCCGGUGGAAACUGUCAAGCUAGGGUCCGGAAGAGGCGAGUGGAAUUCCUGGUGUAGCGGUGAAAUGCGCAGAUAUCAGGAGGAACACCAAUGGCGAAGGCAGCUCGCUGGGACGGUACUGACGCUGAGACGCGAAAGCGUGGGGAGCAAACAGG
rnacentral:rRNA from 1 species